UGCCGGGUCAUCUAACGGUAGGAUAGCGGGCUUUGAACCCGUUCAUUUAGGUUCGAAUCCUAACCCGGCAGCCA
rnacentral:tRNA from 1 species